GACGAACGCUGGCGACGUGCUUAACACAUGCAAGUCGAACGGAAAGGCCCUGCUUUUGUGGGGUGCUCGAGUGGCGAACGGGUGAGUAACACGUGAGUAACCUGCCCUUGACUUUGGGAUAACUUCAGGAAACUGGGGCUAAUACCGGAUAGGAGCUCCUGCUGCAUGGUGGGGGUUGGAAAGUUUCGGCGGUUGGGGAUGGACUCGCGGCUUAUCAGCUUGUUGGUGGGGUAGUGGCUUACCAAGGCUUUGACGGGUAGCCGGCCUGAGAGGGUGACCGGCCACAUUGGGACUGAGAUACGGCCCAGACUCCUACGGGAGGCAGCAGUGGGGAAUAUUGCACAAUGGGCGGAAGCCUGAUGCAGCAACGCCGCGUGCGGGAUGACGGCCUUCGGGUUGUAAACCGCUUUCGCCUGUGACGAAGCGUGAGUGACGGUAAUGGGUAAAGAAGCACCGGCCAACUACGUG
rnacentral:rRNA from 1 species